GCCACACUGCCUAUAGGUGACCAUAGAUGAGGCAACAUUGCAACAACUCCAUCAUUUUCAGCGUCUCUUUAUGUUGUCUAUUGAUUAUUUUGUUUCAUUCAAGAGUCUAAUAUUUUACUGGAAUUCUAUUAUCACAAAAUUUAUUCAAUGACUCCGAUGAAAGAAGCUUCGCCUCCUGUAUCGGCGAUGGCCACCCCAACAAAUAGCAGUGGAAAUCUUGUGGACGAAUUUGAAGAAGCGUUUCAGCAUUGUUUAAACGUCCUCACCAAAGAAGAAGCUCUACCUACCUCAGACAAAGACGAAGUCAAAGUAGAAGUAGAACAAACUACUCUUCGUUUUAUAGACUUAGCUAGGCAAAUGGAAGCAUUUUUUCUACAAAAAAGGUUCCUUUUAUCUGCCCUCAAACCUGAAAUGAAUGUUAAAGAAGAUAUAAGUGAACUUAGACUGGAGUUAGCUAGGAAAGAGGAACUGUUAAAAAGGCAUUAUGAAAAAAUAGCUGUGUGGCAAAAUUUAUUAGCUGAUAUUCAAAGCUAUUCGAAGAGUCCUGCACAAAGUUCUGCUACACCAGGUACUAGCUCAAUACCACCUUCACCUUUGCCAAGUAUACCAGGAAACCAAACACCCAACCAAAUGAUCUCAAAUAUACCUGCUACAAUGCAACAACAAUUACAGCAGCAACAGCUACAACAACAGCAACAACAGUUGCAAAUACAACAGCAGAUGCAACAGAUGCAGCAACAACAGUUACAACAAAUGCAGGUACCACCCGGUUUAAGUGCAGAGACUGUAGGGCCUGGUAUGCUGUCUCCCCAAGCACUCUUUAUGCAACAACAAGGUAUGCCGUCUCCUAGGGGACCUUUUGGUCAACAACCUCCAGGAGGAAUUUUACAGGGACCUUUAGCGUAUCUAGAGAAAACUACAAGUAAUAUAGGUAUAACGGAUGGUAGAAGGUGACGCGGACGCGGGAGGGGGCGUGGAAGAGGCAGGGGCAGAGGCAGGGGACGUGGCCGUGGAGGCGGGACUUUGCCCGAUUACGUCUCUCCCUAAUACCCCCUCCCCGACCGGGCGGCGAUACUCUCGGCGCUCGGCGAAGACGCGGUCAGCGCCUUCAGCUCCAUCAUGCUGGAGGAGGAGAUCCUGACGGCCGCGAUGGGAGGAACAUUCUCCAAUAUGCAUGUUUAAUCGUAGGACAUUACUUUACUGUAUUAUGCAUUGAAUUGACCACAUACCGGAUGUUUUGCUUUUCAAAAAAGCUGUAAGAUAUUUCAUUUAACAUCAUUUAAACGCUAAAUGAUCAAAAUAGUAAAUUAUACAUUAAAAACUUUCCCCAAAUAUUGAUUGCGUACGAGUAUUCAAAGACAGCGUUUGCUAAUAUCUUUUACUUCCGAACUUCAUAUACAAGUGAAAUUCUAGACAAGAGACAGACAUUUUAGCCACUACCACAAAAUCAUAUUUACUACUUGACAUUUUCAUGCAAAGUUUCUAACCUCAAAAAGGGAACCAAUAAUGAAUCUUUUAUCAAAAUCACUGUCAAAAUUAACUUAGAAGAACAGAAUUUGUUGAAAAUAUUGUUCAUUUAAGUCUAAACAGAAACCAGCACCUUGAAAUUCACCAAAAACUUUAUGCAACCUUUGCGAAGAGUUGUGAAUCUUUUUAAAAGUUUCUGUAAUGCAAUCUUUCAGUUUUUACAUAGUAUGAACUGGCAUUGAUCUAUAACCAUACAAAAAUAGGUGUUUUUAACAAAAAUUCUGGAAUUUAAUACUUAUACGUACUCUGUAAUUAUUUGCCAUAUAUAUUUUCACAUCUCUAUAGUAAUAGACUUGACUUAUUUGUAUACCAUUUUUUAAAUUUAACUGUUGAAAAAUGUCAUCCGUCAAAUGGCAUUGUCAUAAGCAACAUUUGUCAAUCUCAAAUGUCACCUUGUGGUAGUGGCUAGCUAAAUAUUGCAAUUUUACAGCGUUUUUUAACGAUUUUUGAUGAUUCUUCAUUAUUAAUAGUAAAAGAAAUAUAAAGAAUAAUGUUAAUAGUGUCUUGUCAUGUUAAACGUAGCUAAAACUUAGCUUGUUUAUUAUUACUGACACCUGUAACUGAGUGAUCAAGUUUACUGAUGAUAAUUACUGUUGUUUCUAUAGGGCUUUUCAUUCAUUUGUUUCGAGCUUCUGUCAUAUGUCGUAUAAUCCGUGUAUAUUAAUAUUAUACACAGAUUAUACAACAUAUGACAUGAGCUCGAAACAAAUGACAAUCGAUGAAAAGCCCCAUUCGCUCCGAGCGUUAACAAAGUGUCAAAGCAAAAUCGACCGACCUGCUCAUGGUGGCGGUUUUUUGAAAGUUUGUAAGGACGCUUUGGGUAUGUUCAAAUGGGACAUUUAAAAAGAAUGCCGUGUCACGCUAGUGAUAUUAUGUAUUAAUAUAAACAGAAAAUAAAAACACACUUAAUCUGAUAUAAAUUCUUCACUUUCCAAUAUUGAUUAUCACUUUGAUUAUGUAUACAUAACCUCACUAUCGCAGUUUAUGUCAAUAAAUCUUUAUUAACGAAAAAGAAAAUAUUUUUGUUGCACUAUAAAUUACACUAUAAAUUAAUAGCUAAUGAAUUCUAACAAUUGUAUUCGGUUACUAUCACUUCAAAAUAAAAUAUUCAAGUUUAACAAAAUAAUUCCAUAAGACUCAAUGUUAAAACGACCUUACAAAAUCUGACAGUGUGUCACGUGACUGUAAAUAGAGGGAGACGCUCGGAGCGAAUAGGGCUUUUCAUCGAUUGUCAUUUGUUUCGAAUUUCUGUCAUUUGUUGUAUAAUCUGUGUAUAAACAUUAUACAUGGAUUAUACGAAAUAUGACAGAAGCUCGAAACAAAUGACUGUGAAUGAAAAGCCCUAUUGAAAUUAACUUAAAUUAAAUAUUUAUAAUGAGCUCUGGCAAAUGUACUAAAAUUCAUUAGGUAUUCAUUGUAAGGAAAAUAAUGUAGACAUAUUAUUUCUUAUAGUUCUAAAAGAAAUCUAAAACAUAUCAAAAUGUACAGUUAAACAAUUUUAUUUCAUGUUGCUUUACAUAUCAUAAUUCAUUUGGAGAUGCGUUUUCAAAUGUCACAGGUUUUUAAACAAUACAAAUAGCACUUAUAUUCUUCAUUUUUUGUUAAAAUGUAUGUGGUCAAUUCACUAAUAUACAGGAUGUUCAAUUAUAGUCUAGAGUUCAGUAUCUCUAUGGCAGGAGGGUAUAGAAACAAUUUUUAAAGUAAGUUUCCAUGGCCAGUACAGGGUCAAGAUACGUUAUUGGUGUGCAAGUAUCUCGACAACUGCAUAUGUCUCCCGACAACGGCGGUAUCACACUCCUGAUUAUAACUGAACCACCCUGUAUACCAAUCUAAAAAAUUAACAUUUACUGGACUUCUUACAAAAUAAAUUAGCGGUAAUCACAUUUUUUUGAAGUUAUACUUCUUUACGCGCGAUAUGAGGGUGAAUUUUAAUAGGAUUAAAACCUUUGAUCCCGGCGCAGUCGCAUUACAACUUUGUUCUGAUUGGAUGUUCAAAUGACAUGACAAAAAUUAUCCAAUAUGGCAGCUGUGGCACAGCUGUGGGACUGUGGUUUGGUUAUGUAUGGUUGUUGCGUUUUAUAAUUUGUAGGAAGAGAAACAACAAACAAAAUGUUAGUUAAUGGUUAUACUGCCUUUUUAAAUAGUUUUCAUAUUAUAUUUUUGGACUUAUUAACAUAGAAGAGAUGAUUGUUGCAUGCCAAUGUGAAAACCCAUCAAACUGUGACUAGCAUGAGUGCCGCAAAAUUACUGAUAAAAAACCUAUUAGCUCGAAGGCGUAGAGAACUGUGGAUAACAACAAUCAACCGGGACGAUCUACGAUCUCGCUUAUUCAAAGCUAAAGAAUCUUACACUGGUAAGUGUUUUAAAAAUAGUUGAUCAAAUUUUGUUAUCAUAUUUGAACAUAGCCACUUUGCACGAUGCAAGUGAUUGCGAAAUUUAUUAGUCGUUAUACGGGCUCUGAUUGUGUGUUGAAAUGAUCUGUCAAUAAUAAAUAAUUGUUCAAUAUGAAGGUAAACAAAUGUAUAAUAUAUUAGUUUUAUUGUUGUGAGGACAGAAACAAAAAAGUUUAUAAUUGUAGUGAUUUUUAUCAUAGGUACUUACCAAAAUACAUAGUAUGUAGUACUUUUAUUUACAUAAUUUGAUUACCAUCAAAAUUUCUAUCAAUAUUCACCUAAUAUAUUGUUUUCUUACUCUAUGUUUUGUUGUAUUUUUUUCAAUUUUAAAUCAUUUCAAUUCAAAAUCAAAAUAAUUUGAUUUACAUAAUUUAAAAAUGUCAAAAGUUUAAUCCGUUUAGUUAGUCGAUCUUCGCACGUAAUGACACACUGUCUCCGUGGCGAAGCGUUUAAUACGAGUGAACCCCAAUACAACGCCAAUACCAGCCGCGCUGGUAAGUUGGUUCGAAUCCCAAUAGAAACUUUUAUUUUUUUAUUUUUUUUAUACAUUUUAUGAUUGUAAGUAUAUUUAUUAUAUAAUUUUAUUUUCAGAAAAUACGGAUUUAGUUAAAAAAUUUUCCGACAAUUAAUGUUCAGAAAUCAUUUGUGGCAUUUUUAAUGUGUUUGUGUGUGUUUUAUUCUUUUAUUAUUUUAAUUUUUGGGACUGUUUUAAUAAAAAUGUUUGAGAAGUAGUAAGUAUAAAUUAGUUUAAUAUUUAAAUAAAAUAUAAAUAAAAAGUAUAUUAAUUUCGUUUAUAAUCAUAUAAUCAUAUAAUAGAAGUAUAACUUCUUACGUGCGUACAAAGUACACACACAUUCUUUUUUUAUAAAUCUUGUUACAUUUUUUAAGGAUUGUUAAAACAUUCAAGAUAUAGUGUAUUCUGAAAUAUCUGUCAAAAUUUGACAUAUUUGAACAUUUUCAGAUCCGGUUAAAAUUACUUUUCUUGCUUUUCAACGAUUAUUGAAAUUGUUGAAUGUAUUUCAGUUCGUUCUAUUCGGUCUUCUUUUCAUUUCGUUAAAUUUUAUACCCUGUUUUUAAACCAGGAGGAUUAAACUCAAAAGACGGAUUCACACCCAAUAAUGUCACUAGAAAAAUCACCAAUACAUCUUCUUUUUUGGUUGAUCUCAUUUGGCAAUCUUGUAAUCCUUAAAAGCAAAGGGAGUAUAGCUCAGUUGUAGAGCGUUCGAUUGGAGAUCGAGAGGUCCCCAGUUCGAAUCCGUGUGUUUUCUAAUUUUUUUUUUAUUUUUGGUAUUGUUUUAAUAAACAUUUUUGGAAAGUAGUAAGUAAAAAUUAGUUUAGUCUUUAAAUAAAAUACAAAUAACCUGUUGAAAGUAUAUUUAUUUCGUUGAAAUCUUAAAUAGAAGUAUAUCUUCUUACGUGCGUACAAAGUACACACACAUUAUUUUUUUUAUACUAAUACGUCGCUAAAAACUUCUAAAAACAACUGUUUUUUUAAAUAAACGCAGACUAAAAAUCUAAAAAUUAAAGAAAUAUGGCAGAAACAAAAAUAUCGCCGAUAUAACUUAAUUAACCUAUGAAUUUUAAAUGCCAUUAGUGUCAAAAUUUCAUAAAUGUCAAUAGUGACAAAUUUUCAUAAUUUGGUGGAGUAAACUUACCUGUGGUUGGACCAAUUACAAACAAUCAUUACGGCGCGGUAAAUUUGAAUUUCUCCUCCUGGUUUAAAAACAGAGCAUAGUGUUAGAUUGGGGAAGUGGCUUAACUCUCAAUCCAAGAUACAGUGGAACCCCGAUAAGUCGGCCCCCGAUAACCCGGAAGUCCGGCUAACCCGGACCGAUUUUCAUCAGAUAAACAUUUUGAUUUUCAAUAUUUUGUAUUUUUCAAUUUAAUUGUGGCUUAUUUCCCAUCAAAAUAGUUAAUUAUCAGACAAACCUUUCAACAAUAAAAAUGUAUGUAACAUAAUAUUUGAGAGAUAAUGUGUAUGUGUGUAAUUUGAACUAUACGAUAUUAAAAAUGACUCAUAGCACACGCCGCAGAAACAACAGCCACCUGUCUGUAGUACCUAUUCCUUUUUAUUUCAAACUGUCUUAGCAUUGUUUAGGAAAGACUAUUUAAAAAAUUCUUUUAUAAACAAUGGUCUUUAGUUUUCACUGUUCUUAAAUAACAUUACAUCGUUGUGACUGUAUUGUGUGUCUUGUAUUGUUCGCUUCUGUUUGCUUACGUUUGUGUUUGGUGUUUUUUUUUUAGUAAUUUUAAUGAGUAGGUACUGUGCAUAUUUAUAAAUAUAUUUCAUGUUAUUUCAAUUCUAACGGAGUUUAUCUGUAAGUAUACCGUAUUUUAUUAAUUUUUACCAUAUUCUCCGGCUAUCUCGGAUUUUCGAUAACCCGGAUCGGCCGCGGUCCCGAUUAAUCCGAGUUAUCGAGGUUCCACUGUACUUAACUUUCCAAGUCUACUUAGAAUUUCUCUCGAUGGUCUGAGAUUUGAAUAACUCUCCUCCUUUAAUUUUACAAUACAAUUUGCGGUUGACGAUGUUUUAUACAGGGUGUCCCCGAAAAUAGUGCGUUCCUUAAAGGUAUAGGUAGAAGGCACAAUGUAGAGCAAAAAAGUCUUAACAUUUUUUCCUAAAUUGAUCCGUUUGACCAAAAAACGAAAAUACAUUUUGAUAUGCAAAUUUAAGUCUGGCAACAACGCGCAACUCAAAAGUCUAAAGAUUAAAAAAGUAGGUUUGUAGAUCAGUUGCAUCUGGUAGGUAAAAUAAUGUAAAUAUCAACCAAACCCAUAUCCAUUAUUUUGCAGGUAGGUACCUACCAUGUCAACAACCACAAAAAUCACACCUCAAAGUAAAUAAACAAAGGGUUAUUAGGUUAAAUUUCCACAGUCACAGUAAGUUCUUCUAGGCUACGUUGCCAUGUCAUUCAAUUUCAUGAAAAUAAAAAUUCACUUAUAUGGAGAACAAUGUAAUUUUUUUUCUUGAAAACGGUUAACUUUAGAAAAAAAUGUUAUGGGACUUUUUUGUUCUAAAUUGUGUAUUAUAUCCAUACCUUAAAGGAACGCAUUAUUUUCGGGGACACCCUGUAUAUUGUCAUGAAUUAAAAUAUAUAAUGGCAGAAAAUGAAAUUAACCUAACAUAACCAAACUUUUCUAAUACUUCAUUUUCAAGCCAUAACAACUUUCGAAUGAAUUAGUUUAGAUCGACGUAUCUUUGAUUACCGAUUGCAAAAAAUUUAAUGAAAAUUAAAUUACAGUGUGUGGCAUUAAAUGGUGUCUAUACCGCUAAUAUAAAAGAGCAUGUCCAGUGAGUGUUACUUUUCUAGUAUAAAUUAAAGAUAGGUUAUGCAAGUUACAAGGUAAACUUAAAUUUAGUUAAUACGAGACGUGAUGAAAGUUUGAGCUUAAGCAAUAUGCUGCGUUUGUGUGUACGCGUCGGUGUGUGCGUGCGUAAAUGUACUUGAGCGUAAUCGAAAUGUACUUUAGCUGUUAAUUGUAUUCGCCGGUUGUUUUCCCCUUCUUAGUAUUAUUGUUGAAUUUUUUUAUUAUUAAAUAGUUUUAGUUUUGGGGAAUAGGUUGACAACUAUUUCGACGUUGUGUUUUGAUUUGAUUGAAUGUUAACGCAAUAUCUUAUAAUUAAUUGCACGGGGAAUAAUAAUAAUUACUUUAUAUUUGAUAUGGGUUCGUUUUGGAGCAAUUUUUGGACUUUGGAUUCAAACAUAGUCGCAGUUUUUGUUUAUCACGUAUAUUUUGUAACCUAACCUAAAUAAAUCCUUUCUGUAAAAAUACGUACCGGGUGUCCCAAUAGGAAUGGCUCUCGGCCAUAUCUCGGGAACCGUUUAUAGUACAGCUUUAAGAAAAAAAUAUUUAUAACAAAAGUUGCCUCGGGAAAAGCCUGGAAAUUAUUUUCAUAAUUGUAGGUCCACCGCUAGAGGGCGUAAUUGAAUAUCAAAAAUUAAAAAAUCAAAAUUUUACAAAAUUUACCUAAUGAAAGGGCACUGGAAAUCCAAUCAUCGUAUUCUUAAUAAAAUUCUGCGCAUAUUUGAUUUUACAAGUUUAAGGCCCGGUACUUUAUGUCUCCGUUAACAGCCGGUUAGUUAACCGGGGUUUAAUCGGGACAGAAAUAUAUGCAUAACAUAGACAUAAACGCAAUUAUACUUAUUAUUAUAUUAAUAAAUAAUAAUAAUUAUAAUUGCUUUUAUUACAAUGCAAGAGGCCCUAUGAGGUACUUUUCUGUCCCGAUUAAACCCCGGUUAGCUAACCGAGGUUUAACCGGGACAUAAAGUACCGGCCCUAAGUCUACCUUUGGAAAUAAGAGGUGGGGGUGAGUGGGAACCUUCUUAUGAAAAAAUGGCUGUAAGUCCGGUUCUGCUAAAUAUAAUUUUGCAUACUUGGUCUUGUUGAAAUCAGCAUAUAACCAUAUAUAGUAGCUACUAUAGCUACUAUAUAUGGUUAUCCAAAGUAUACAAAAUGUAAUGUGCAACAUCUCCACGUCUGCCCCCCCCUGAAAAUUUUUAUAUGGGCUCCCGUGCGAGCUUAUGUCAUAUUUUGUUUAAUUCGUGUAUAUUAACAUCAUACACAGAUUAUACAACAUAUGACAGAAGAUCGAAACAAAUGACUGUGACUAAAAAGCCCUGUAGUGGGAGCACGCAAAAUAGAAUUCUAUUUUAGUGACGUCACGUUGUCUAGCAACCGUCGAUUCUCCCAUUGUGAAAUUCGAUUUUGUGACGUCAGCAAAAUAGAAUUCUGUUUGGCGUGCUCUCACCCCAGUUGUGGAGAUUGUUGACAUUAGUACAAGGUGUAGGAAAAAAUUUACGUGGUAGACAAUAUAGACUAUGGUCUUUUAACAGAAGUCAACAGAAAUUGUCUUAAAAAUUGUUCCUCCCUGUUAGUUACACAAAAAUUUUUACCUACUCCGACAUUUUAAGUUUCUCUUUUGGUUCCCUCUUUUGGUUAAGUUUGGUUUUGGUGAGCCGAAAAAUUAGAAUAUGUCUAGUUGUCGGUUCAUCAACAUAUAAAUGAACCCACGGUUCUUCGAGGUUCCGUUUUAUCCACACUUGGGAAUGGGCAGUUAUAAGAAGGUAUUGAACGACAAAUGUUUUAAACUGACCAAAAGGUUUCAAUACCAAACGAAUUGUACUAGUAAUAGUAUUAUUAUUGAGUCAAAAUAGUUCUUUUGAUUGAGCAAUAUUUUAAUAAAUAAUGUAGGUAGCAUAUGAUAAGUCAUCUUUCCAAAAUGUUUUCUCAUUUCUUCAAGAGCGGUCGGUGACCACGUUUUUACAAGUUUCUAUAUCUAUAGUAAGGUGGGAAAGUUCUGCCUCACUGAUGUCUGUCCAGCCUCUAACGCUUUUCUUCGUUUUAUCAACUUCUAAAUAUAUUUUACACACUUUUGGUAAAUUUAUUUGAAAUUAUUUUGCUACAACUAUGACACAAUGAAAAUCUAUAACAUAGAACUAGUUUUAAAGAGAAAAACAAGUAAAUUGCCAUGUAAAAAUUAUUCUGUGAUAUAUGUACCCAAAAGGUCACAUUUUGGCAUAUAAUUGAUAUUUAAAUAGACUGAAAGUUGAACCGAAUUGUUUCUAUAGAGGUUAAAAUGAAUUACUUUAGAAAUACGUCAUAUUACUGUGACGUCAUGCUUUUAGUUUGAGGUUAUAUUGAUUUUUAUUUAAUUACAUUUCUACAACUUUAUCAAUUGUUCAAAAGUCUUGAAGAUGUGUCUAGGACUAUGAUAUAUUUACGUUCAUUUUAAUAAGAACUUUCAAGUUUGUUAAAGUUGAUCAUAUCCAAAGCGUUUCAAUUGCAAGAUCUCGUGGCUCUAACAGGGGAUUUUUUACAACACUUAUAUUUAAAAAAUCGCUUCUCACAAGAAAUUUAUCUUUUAAAACACCUUAAAUCAUUCAUUGCAAGAAAAUAGACCAGAUAAGUUUACCAAAAGAAGAUAAAACACACCGCUUUGAAAAAAUCAUAUGGAAUUUGAUUUUUUUAUAAAUAAAACCUACCUACCUUAAGAAAUGAAAGCGUGACAGCAAACUAUUAAUUGGCUUAUUAAUUGUCAUAUUCUGGGGUCAAUAAAAGCAUCAAAUGACCCAAUUAUACACGUGGGUGGUCCGAUAAGUACUUAGCUACUCCGCCCGAUGGCGUCACUGUCACAAGAGAAAUCUACCAUCGUGUAAUAAAUUCUUGUAGACGGCCUAUGUCAAAAUAUCAGCCAAAUCGGACUCGUAGCUUUGUUUUGACCGCGUAUGUAAGCGGGCGGGUUUGGGGAUUUUAAAAAAAUAAAAAAAGAGAAAUAUCAGUUGGUGAUUCGACUCUUGUUUUUAGAAGGGAAAUCCCGCAGCGAAAUGAAAAAGCGCUUGAAUUCUGUAAACGGUGACUCUCCUUCGAUGGAAACCGUCAAGAAUUGGUAACGAGUUUCAACCUUAGAAUAUAAAAAAACAGGAAGGAAUCUGCCAUAUAUCAACAACACCUUAAAUUUCUAGCGGAACCGGCCAUCUUGAACGUCUGUGGAUGACUCAUAAGUUUUUGUCAACGAGGAAGAAGGUGUUUGUGUAUUGGAUCAGCUGUGUGCAUAGGCGUACCAUCGGGUAAAGCUCCUGUAUAUGCAAUCAAUUAACUGAAGUUAUUAGUGUAAUAAAAUGUUAUUUAACUGACUUUUCAACAAAACAUCAUAUUAAUACGUAUUUUCUCUUGAUCUAUAGCUGUUUGUUUAACAUAAAAGAUGUAAUAAAAUCGUUAAGAAUUUCUUUUCUUCCCUCAUUCAAAGGUACGUCACUGGAGAUAGAAAGCAAAUCUGACAGCUGAUCGCCAUUUGCAACCUCCUUCCUGGCUCGAAGUCAUUUCGCAUUUUACUCCUUCCUGGUUUAUUUUACAUUGUAAGGUUUCAACGUGGUGGCACGUCGCUUUUUGAUAAGUCACUCCCAGUUGCCCCGAAAACGGCUACCACUGAGGAUAAUGUGAAAGAAGUCCACCAUCUCGUAUUGGUAGACCUGUGGAGUUUCUACGUUGUUUCAUAACCGUCGACGAAACAUGGUUCCACUGGUAUACACCAGAGACCAAGGAACAGUCGCUACAGUGGACGUCACCCCGCAAACGUGCUUCGAGGAGAGCUUCUUCUUCUUCUUGUGCCACUCCUAUCGGAGAUUGGAAAUCAUCAAAGCUACCCUGACUUUGUUUACAGCUGACCUAAAAAGUCCAUUAGUGGUGCAGCCAAACCACUCUCUCAAAUUCCGCAUCCACGACAUUCUUCUACGGCCUGGAUUCCGUUUUCCCUCUAUUUUUCCUUGCAUUGUAUUUUGAAGUAAUGUAUUUAUGACCUCUCAUCAGGUGACCCAAAUACUCGAGUUUUCUUCGUUUUAUCGUUAACAAAAUUUUCUGGGUCUCUUCCUAUCCUUCGUAUUACUUCAAGAUUUGUGAUUCUUUCAACCCAACUUAUCUUCAGCAUUCGACGGUAGCACCACAUCUCGAAACACCUUUCGCGGAGAGCGAAACUGUCUAAUCGGCAGGAAAGGUGAUGGCCAUUAUUUUGUCACAAGGUGUGAUCUAUAUCCAGUUCCUGGAGAAGGGCAAAACGAUCACAGGCCUUUACUAUGCCGCAUUAUUGUCCCGAUUCGACGCCGAAUUUCAGAAAAAACAAUCCCAAUUGGGGAAGAAAAAAUACUGUUCCACCAUGAUAACGCUCCGACUCACACCUCCGCUAUCGCCAUGGCCGAAUUGGGCUACAAACUGCUGUUCCAUCCAACGUAUUCUCCAGAUUUGGGCAUGUAGGACUUCUUUUUGUUUCCAAACUUAAAAAAGUCACUCGCCGAGCAGAAAUUUAAGUCGAAUAAGGAGUUCAUCACGGCCACGGCAGCCUACUUUGCAGACCUCGAGAAAAGGUAUCCUUCAGACGGGUUAAAGAAGAGGGAGCAUCGCUGGGUCAAGUGGAUCGAGAUAAAAGGAGACUAGGUUCAGAACAAAAUCGCUACUUUUCCAAAAUUUUCGUUUUUAUUUUCAAGGCUAAGUACUUAUCGGACCGCCCUAGUAGCAGAAGGAAGUACAGUUUGAACUGUAGCCUAAAUAAGAUAAUAUAUUUUGUUUCUUUUUGCAAAUUUCUGUUUAUUUAUAUAGUCGUUUGCUCAGUAGUUAUUUGAGGUUUGGAUGAAAUACAAUUUUUAUUCUAAAUCGAAUACUUCUGUCACGGCGUUGUAAACGUCGUUUUAUGAAAAUUUAGGAUGCUCUCAAAUAAACACUGACCUGUUUGUUAUUUCUAUACACAUAGUUAAAAAUUUUUCAUAUGUUUUCAUUUAUUAUUUUAUAAAUAUUUAAUUUUAUACACGAUAAGUUCGAGGAGUUUUAUGUAUUAGCUAAUGCUUAUAUUAUUAUUAAAGUAUAAUUCAAUAAGCGAUGCAGAAGACCUAAAAAACCAUCGGGAAAGGAAUUAUCUCAGUACCGAUCAUGCGGACAUGAGAGAAUUUCUUCUCAUUUGUUCAAUAGAAAAAUUUGAUUGUUCUUGAUAGUUGCAUUUUUUUACGCAAAUUUUUUAUUCCAAUUAUUGUGAGACUAAUUGCUUCCUUUUGGGAUGAUACGUAUUAAGGAUGAAUAAAUAAAAUCACGAGGAAGGAUUCUUUAUUAAAGGAUUCUCAUUUUUUUUUUUUUCGAAUUUGAUCGUUAUGCUUAUUGUAUUAUGCCCGUGAUAGACGAAAGAAGAGGGCUAGGUCGAAGAAGAACGGCAUGGCUUAAAACCUGAGAGAAUGGUUUAACAGAUCAUCUGCAUCCCUUUUCCGAGAUGCCGUCAAAAAAUUACUAUAGCCAAUUUGAUAGAUACGCUCGAUAAUCGAGCACGACAUAUGAAGAAGGAAGAUGCCUUGUUAUUCUGUACGGUCGGUGUAUAGUAUCUUCAUUUAUGCGUGGCAUUGACAGUCUUGUUCUUCUUUUAUUUAAUUUUACUGAACUUUUAGAUGUUUUUGAUAUUAAAUUCAGUUCUUUUACUGUUGCUUAUCCACAGUUAAUGUUGAUAUCAUCUACCUUGAAAAAAGACGGACACUUUAUACAUAGACUGUUACCACUUAUAAUAUCUCAAUUUCUGUAGUUUAUAUAAAAGUCUACAUAGCAAUCGUCUAAAGGGCGUAAAUAUCCAGUCAUCUCUGUAUAAAACAUUGUAGAUCUUCAGUAGUUUUUAUUUUGUGUCGUAUACGAUAGAUGGCGCUUAUGUACUUUUGUCCACUGUAUAGUGGAUAAAAUGAUUCGAUAGCCUGGUUUUUCUGACUUAGGCUCGAUGUACAUUUGCGUGUUUUCAAGCUGCGCGCAUGCUGCGAGCAAGCUACGUACGAUCGCUAGCAGUUCAGCAGUUCAUGAGUUGAAUUUAUUCACUGCACACUCGAGUUAAGCCGCGGCGUGCAAGUGACUUACAAGCGGCGUGGACCAAGAGCACGCCACUUUCUGCUACACCGCCACGUGCACGCCGCUUGAAAACAAGUCAGGCGGUUUGUGAUGGAUAAUGAUUCAGUACACGUUGACCGCGCGAUCGAUUUUAAGGCUAAGGCUCCACGGGCGAGAAAUUCACGCUAGCAGUAGCCGUAAAACGAACUUAAGGUUCCACGGAACAGAAUAGGAAUAGCCGAACUGAACCGACUACGCACAAGUCCUGUAGUCGGUACAGUUCGGCUAUUCCUAUUCCGUUCUGCGGAACCUUAAGUUCGUUUUGCGGCUACUGCUAGCGUCAAUUUCCAGCCCGUGGAGCCGUAGCCUAACGUAGAUACAGAGCUGUUUAUUUCUGGCGUGUAUUGACCCCCAGAAACCGCUCAAACGUAUGUUGACGGGAAACUUGGCUUGAAAACAAGCAGCGUGCACGCAACUUAAAAACGCGUAAAUGUGUAUCGAGCCUUACAGUUCGUUUUGAGCCUACCACUAUCUGAAAUGCUACAAGCACAACGAAACAUGUCAUAAUUUUAGACAAAAAUUGAGCUGAAACCGUUAAUUACCGAGAAAUUGUUUUCAUAUAACCUAAACGCAAGUUUUUUAUAUCUAAUUGUAGAGCAUAUGCCUUUUACGUGUGCAUUAAUUCGAUUUGAAGUUUAAGAAAUAGCAGCAAGUCAGGAGUAGCAUAUUUUCAGAUGUAAAAGUUUAGCACACAAAUUAUUUCUUUGCUGCAUCGCUUAUUGGAAUGAACAGUAUAAAUCAAAGAACGAAAUAAUGGUCAGUGAUGCAUCCGAAAGUAUUUAAAAUAGAAAGGGAAUCAAUUUUUCUCUUUCGCACAGCGUUGCCACAUCGUUGUGAUAAUAGGAAAUAUAGCGAAUUCUGAAAAUUUAAGGUUGUAGUUUUGUUAAUUCAUCGGUUCAUAUGACGUCAUUGAAUCUCACGUGCAUUACAGUUUUAGGCUUUCACGAUGCGUCAGUGCCAAUUAUUUCGUAUUUGGUUAUAAAAAACGUACUAUUAAUGACUGCAUAUAGCAGAUAAUUAUAUUUUCUUUUGUGAAAAUGCUCAAUACACGAGGUGUAUGUAAUAUUAUUAUUGUAUACGUGUUUCUUGCAUUUUUAUAAUAAUAAUGAUAGAAAAAUGUGUUAUCACCCUUUCCUUUCACUAGCACUGUGAUUUUUAUUUGUAAUGUACGUUGUUCGGCAAUAUAGAUUGGUAUGCUGGCGGGAAAAAACAUUUGCGUCACUUUGAAAUUGUGAUUGUUUUACGAUUAUAGCAUAUAACUAUUAAUGCUGUAUCCAAAUAAGGUCUGUCAUGAUUUUUUAUGUACAUAUUUGUUGUAAUUUUAGCUGCAUUAUUCCUCUGACGGACACACAGACCACAUAAAAUAAAAUCAAAAAUAUUUUUAAAUUCUUAGUUUGAGUAUUUGAGUCAGUAAGAAAAGUUGGUUUAAUAACGUUUAUUAUCUCUUGAAUCUUUGCUGGAUGUCGAAGAGACAUACAUGUAGUUAAUGAAGAAAUAUUUGGGAACGUUAUUUCUUCGCAUGACGAGCAAUAAUUUCACUUUAGGUAUUUCUUAGCGAGGUAUAUGUUUUUGGUUAUGUCGUACAGAUUAGGUCGCUGAGAUUGAGAUCUGGACUAAGUGUUGGUCAAUAUAACCGCUUAAUGCCCUUUUCGUCUUAAUAAUCUCCGACCACCAUGUAAGGUUUCGCGUUAUCAUCGAUGGAAAUGCCAUUACCAUCGGUGGUAAGCCUGAAAGGUAUAUAUGGUAUUCUAUAACUUGUAAUACACUUGGUAAGUGGUGUCAAAACACACAAGUAAAACUUUAUUCCGUGAAUUGGCGCAGAGACCUAAAACUUGAUCCAAAAUAGCAGCCUAAAGAAGGUUCGGUGAGCAGCUUAGCUGUUGCUGCAUCAGGGGUUAUUCAUAGAAGUGGUCGAUAGUUUAGUUAUGGAUUGGAAGAUAUGUGUACUUUUAAUCUUGUAUAAUGGUCUCUGGAAAUUAGAAUUGCUGAAUGGGUGUGUGACUGUAGUUUAGUGUGGCUUAAGGAACACCCGUGUGUUGAGAGAUCUUAAAUAUUCAAGGUAUGGACAGCAAAUGCUCUGGACUAGUGGAUUGUAGAGAUGCUCGAAAGUGCAGUACAGUCUGAAAAUGGCUUCUUCUGCAAUUGGUUUGUUCUACAAAAUGGUUUUUUUUUAAACAAAAGCCGUGCGCCACAAAAUGACAUUUAUUGGCUGAUGGCUUCCUCUAACCUAAAGACAUGAAUUUUUAUUUUAUCUCUUUAUCAAUGGGGGAAUGAUUACAGUCCUGUUGGACAGGGAAGUGGGCAGCGUGAAUGUGUAAAUAGCUCACUCGCGCUGCCGCUGCUCAUGCUACUGCCAUUGCACGGCGCUUCCCAAAAAUUCGGUUUUUGGGACGGAAGUCAAAGGAGAGGCAGAGUGAAUGCGAGUGAGUAUUAGUCAUGAGGACAUUGCCGACAUUGGUGCGAACACUUCACUCGCGUCGAUAUCGUAUUUCAGGCAAUAUUUCCGACACCGGCAUUAGCAGUGGCAAAGGCUGGGUAUAAAUCCGGCAUAUGAUAUACUCGACCAUAUUGUAACUACAUUACAAGUUUUGUUACAACAUAAAGUGAUUUUGACUUUUUAAAUAGGGCUUUUCAUUCACAGUCAUUUGUUUCGAACUUCUGUCAUGUGUCACAUAAUAUUAAUAUAUCUACGUCAUACGUUAUUGGCAUAUACCCAUGAUACAAACCAAAGACGUAUGACGUAGAUAUAUUAAUAUUAUAUGACACAUGACAGACGUUCGAAACAAAUGACAAUCGAUGAAAAGCCCUAUAAGACGACAGAAAUGACGCUUUAUUGAAAAUAAGCAGAUGAAUAUGAAUUUUAUACUUUCAAGCGAAUGCACGCUAUAAAAUGCUAUCAAUACAGUUACAGUAGGUACAUGACAGAUGACGUAAAUGACGAAUGAUACUUCUCCGUAAACAAUUUGCAGUGAUUUAUAAAUAACACGUUACAAUUUCAAAGUGAGCUAUAUUUUAUGCAUGCCAGUGUACUUAUAAAAGGUCAGUUCUGUGAUUGUUUUUUGGGCACAUGUUAACAUAACAUCUUAGUUACCUUUGUAAGUAUAUUUGGAUAUUUCUGUAUUGUGCUGAUUUUUUAGUGUAACGUUACCGAAUUUCAAAAUUGUGAUAUAAUGAAUUUAAAUAAAUAUGCAUACUAAUAUAA
rnacentral:misc_RNA from 1 species